GUCCAAGCAGCCACCUGGCCUGGGACCGGCCUGGCUUUGCCGUUUCCUUUGGCAGCUCCCAAGACCUGAGGAUAGGAGUCCUGGGCAGCUGGGACCUGCCAGGCCAUCCUGCAUCUCCCAUGGGGCUCACGACCCAGGGACCCCUGUUCCUCUCUGAGAGGACCACCUCUUCCUGAAGCUGGAACCCGAUACUUGUCGGUGCCAACAACUGAAACCAGCAGAAAAAGAGGAUGUGUGAGCCAGGGGAAGACGACGGUCAUUGAGAUCUGCUCUGCAGGGCGCAGAGAGACCAUUCCUGGCACUAGCACUGCCUCCAACCAGCUGGUGACAUGAAACUGAUGUGCGCAGAUGCAUGUGUUCACGUGGGGUGUGUGUGUCCGUUUGGAGACCAGAAGUCAACCUCAGGUCUCAGGAGGGAGAGCUGCUUAGUCUCAACCUGGUCCAUGGGCACAAGCCACCACGCCCGACAAGAAAUGAAGGAGCUGAAGGAAGCUAAGACGCCUCCAUUGCUGCUGCCUGCUGCCGCCUGCUGCUAUCUGCUGCUACACUGGUGACCCUGUCCAGCAUCCCUGGAGAGACUCUCGAUCCCAGUGUUCUAUACACAGGCAAUAAGUAAACACCUGUUGGGGCUAGUGCCAUCAAUAUUGCCCGUGCUCAAUUAAAUGUGUCAUUUGUUUGGGAACUGGGGGAGGGGGGCCUUCUGUGUGGCAGUUUCAACGUUAAUAAAUGAAUGAGUAAGUCAGCAAA
rnacentral:lncRNA from 1 species